UACGUAGGAGGCAAGCGUUGUUCGGAAUUACUGGGCGUAAAGGGCUCGUAGGCGGCCAACUAAGUCAGACGUGAAAUCCCUCGGCUUAACCGGGGAACUGCGUCUGAUACUGGAUGGCUUGAGUUUGGGAGAGGGAUGCGGAAUUCCAGGUGUAGCGGUGAAAUGCGUAGAUAUCGGGAGGAACACCAGUGGCGAAGGCGGUUGCCUGGAGCUUUGCUGACGCUGAGGCGCGAAAGCGUGGGGAGCAAACAGG
rnacentral:rRNA from 1 species